CCUGAGAAAUCUGUUUUUCCAGUAAGUAAGGACAUAAACCUUUCUGGCAACUUAGAGCUGCUGCUAAAGAGGACUCUGCCUCCUGGAGCAGGCGAGCCCAUUGCCCCUAGUGUGCCCACGUAAAAGCUCACUGAUCAUCUGAGGACAGGGCUCUGUAAUUGGCUGGAGUUGGGGAUCCAUGACCUUCAAAAUCUCUUCCAAUAACAAGUCUUUAACAAGGACUCAUUGAGAAUUCUGAGUGAUAGCAUGACAGCGUGAAAAUCAGGAAGACUGAGCCAGGAGAAAGAUGUAGGCUGGAGGAGGAAAAGCCACAGGCUGCGUGGUCACUGGGGAAGCUAACAUCAUUUGGAAUUAGUGUUUGUGAGGCUGGUUACUGAGAGUUCAUCUCUGACACUUUUCUGAUGAAACUUGGAUUCUGAGCCUUCUCAGUCGACUUUGGACAUUGAUCAGGCCAAGUCAUCCAGGUGGCUCAGAAAGGACAGUUUCUCAAAGGCUAACACUCUGCAGUGUAAAAGAGCAACUGCCAGAACAGGUGGGAAAGACCUUACCUUUGGUGCUGGCAGUCGGGGAGAGGUGCAGGGGACCUGAUCCUCACAUCAACCAAGGGGAAAAUACUUGAUUACUCAUGCUUCCUUCACUGUGUAGGCACUGGGGCUGUGGAAAUGGUCACUUUGCUAACCCAGUCCUGCCCCUUUCUCCAAAUUGAGGACUGAGACAGGUAAGAUUCUCAUUUUCUAUUUGCCUCUAUUUUCACACAGCCACUUCUCUCACCUAAGACUUUUAUUUGCCUCAAUAAACAAAGAACUCUGCUUGAAAGAACUCCCCUGGAUAGCCAUAUUAAUAAUGGAAACCUAUUUUGUUCCAAGCCAUUGGGUUUUUCUUUUUAUGAUUAUUAUGUCUUUUCAAUUGAUUAACUUUAAACAAAAAUUAAAAUAGAGUCCUGAGGCCACUUGAGUGUUACUUUCUUAGGUGAUACAAUGAAACCACUCCUUUGUUCAGUUGCUAACAUUGAAAAUAAAGGAUGAAAUUGGGGUGGGUGAAGGCAAACAUUAAACAAGGCUAGUGUUAGAGAUGACAGAGUCCAGAGACACACACUCUGUCCAACCAGCCAGGUGUGGAAAGGCACUCACAUAUGUGUCUUCAUAUUAACUGGGUGUCUCGGUGCAGUUUAGUACUUGGAAACACAGACAUAAUAGAAUGCAAGCAGAAAUCAAGUAAUGAGUGGGCACCAGGGUUGAGGUGGGCAGCCCUGGUGUGGGGGUAGCACUUGGAGCAGCCGCAUGUUGAUUCCUGGGGCAGAGCUGCCAACCCUUGCAGACUUAACUUGCAGAGGUUACUGCCCUGCAGCACAGUCAAGUUCAGGUGCUGGAUGGUGAAAUGCUUUUUGGCAGGAAGAACUUUGCUUUUGUCUGCCUAAUUAAAGCUGUUGGAAUAAUUUGUGUACAAGUGUAUUUCAUGUCAGUGCUCAAGCAGGUCUAAGGUUCCCAACCAAGAAUGCUGAACAAAAUUCAUGCACCAGGGUUUGCUUACUUUUUACUAUGAAGCAUAAUUAUGCACAAACUGAAGACCAAUUGGAAGAUUUCAUCAUAAAUAUCAUACCUAUAUUCCUUAACUCAUAAAUAUUCUUAAAAAUAAUCGCUGAGUUUAGUUUUGAAAUAGAUAGCAAUGAAAUUCUUACCUGUGCCUACUUCAGAAAUUCAAUGAAAUUCUCCAUUUUGAAAAUGAAUGACAGCAUCUGGCAUGUUACUAUUGGAUAAAAAGGAUUUGUCAAAUGCGUUGUCCAUUGACAAUGUUUCAGCAUUGCUGCACUAAUGGCCGCAGAAGACCUACAGCUUUCUUCACCUAGCAGUGCUGCAGGGUGCCACCCUGUGGGGAACACUGAAUCCAGAGUGGCCUAGAGGAACUUCCUGAGCCUGCCUCGAAUUUGAAAACCUGUCUUUAAGCUUCAAAUCCCUGGUGGCAAACACCCCAGCCCCAGGGCGCUUCUGCCUAAGGAUCCUUGAGGUGGUAUAACAGGAGUGGCUAAGACCCUUUUGCAUCACAUCACCCCACCCCUUGCCCGCGCUCAUCCGCUCUGUACCAUCCGCUCUGUACCUCAGCUAAAUAUACUCCUCCCUUUUACAAUAAAGUGAGACCCUGCUUCGACUGGGCUCCCCACCGCGUCUGGUUGUCCCCGGGUUUGGGGAAGGCUGAGUGGCGGGUGGCGCACUUCCCCUCCUCGUUCAAGGCAAGCUGCGGGCAGCCUGCCUAAUUCUCCAGCGGUGGCCAGGAACAGUCACCGCACCACCCCAUGCGCUUCACAUUUGGUUUGCUGGCAUACAAGGUUGGAAAGUUCAGAAGGCAGUGAUGGGUGGAUAAGUUCAGGUGUCCUUGUAUCUUUGCAGGCACCAAAAAUAAUGUGGGAGUAUCUCUGUCUUGUUCACUUUGAAGCACCUGUUAGAACUGCAGAGAGCUGAUUUUGAAUGAACCUCACCGGUAACCUGCUGUCUGUAAUUUUUACAUCAUAAAUAAUUCUGUGAUAAACAUCGUGUACGUGCAUCUUUUCAUGAUUGUCAGAUUAUCUCCAGAAGUAAAACUCUAGGGGCUGGGCUGCAGAAUCUGAUUAGCUUUCAAUGAGUCCUCAGAGACGUCAGAGGAGGCAGCACUAGGUAACAGAUGAGCUUCAUCCCAAGGGACCAGGGCUAGGUAGGAUUGGGGGAGGGGCAGGGGGAGGCUUGGGCAUUUGGUUUUCCUCUGAGUUCCUUCUAUUUCCUUUAUAGUUUCUCUUGGUUUUCUCCACUUCUUUUUUGAAGCCCCUGAUUUGUACUUUCAGCCAAACAUCACUGGAAUAUGAAAGAAAGAGGAAGAGAGGUAUUCUUUCACCAUUUUCUUUAUUUCUAUUAUAUUCUAGCUUUGGCUGUAGAUGAGGUAAGUGGAUCCUUAAACUAAUUUGUCUGAUUUUUAAGACUUAAAAUCCUGCACUUGUAAUAACCCCAUCGUGAGUUAUUUUACUCUAGUUUAGAAUUCUCCAGGUUAUAUGGAGAUUUUAUUCUUUUUUUUUUUUAAGAGAAACUUCUGUAUGAAAGAGAUUGUCCGCUAGAGAAGCAUGAAUCUCCAUCUCGCUCUAACCACAUCUUUGGUUGUUCUCAAAAAAAUUUGAAGAAUGCUUUGUUUGUGUGUCUUUUCCCUUCUGUGACAAUUUCUAACUAAAUGCCUCUUAUCGAUGUUUCAUUCCAAAUUCUCAGAGAAAGGAAUUAACUGGACCUAUUAUUCACCAUCAUCCCAUUAGGGGCAGAUCUUUGAAACAGCCUACUUCUUGGGCUUCUAGACAGCCUAUAGAGGCUACUCUUGAGCUAUGCCCUCAUCUGUCCUCUCAUUUGCUGUGGGCGGUGCGUGUGGAAGGGUGGCUGCAUCACAUGGAAGGGAAGGACCCCUCUGCUGUCUGGAAUUUGAGGCCUGGGAACCAACACUUGGUGGUUCCACAGCGCUCUUAUGCAGGGAUUUCUCUUAAAUUGUCCAACUGGGAAAGAUAGACCUUGGUAAGCAUUGCUUGGCAUUUUGAGAAAAGGAGCCCGUGAAACUGUCUAAACAUAGACUUAUGCUGUGACCCAACAUCUCUACUCCUAGGUCAUCAGCCCAAGAAAAACGAAAACAUAUGGGGCAACAAAGACUUGAACAGGAAUUUUCACAGAGCUUUUAGACUUGAUUUUUGGGUAAAGAUUCACUGAUUUAUUUGAAAGGCCAAGUUACAAAGAGAGACAGAGAGAAUUUCCGUCCACUGGUUCACUCCCCAGAUAGUCGCAAUGGCCUGGGCUAGAACACCAUCUGGGUCUCCCCUGUGGGUGGCAGGGGCACAAGCACUUGGGCCAUCUUUCAUUGCCUUUCCAGGCAUAUUAGCAGGGAGCUGGUUCAGAAGUAGAGCAGCUGGGACAUGGAAUAGUGCCCAUGUGGGAUGCUAGUAUCACAGGCAGUUUAAGCCGCUGUGCACAAUUCUGGCCCUUUAGAUUUUUUUUUUGAGGUUUUAUGCUUGAUACUGCAAAGCUGAAUACAGUCCAGUUGUCCAUCAAAAUGAUAACAGCUAAAAACGUUAACAUAAUUGUACAAUAGACUACUAUUGUUAAAAAAAAAAAAAGAGGCAUAUUACUGAUACAGGCAACCCAGGUGAGUCUCACAGACAUUAUACUGAGUGAAAGAAGCUUUAUUCCAAGGAAUAGGAGUGAGUCCAUUUAUGUAAAGUUCUAGGUGUGGCAACAACUCUCUAGGGGAGUUUUUUAAAAGCCCCUUUUCUAAGUAAAAUAAGUUAUUGUGUCUGGUGUGGGGGCGGGGCCUGAUCCAGAAGAGACCUUAUUAUUUUGGGGGGUAAUGGUAAUUUCCAUCUCCGGCAAGAAGUUUAAUUUACACAGGCAUAUGCAUUUGUCAAAAGUUAGCAAUCGCGCUGGCACUGUGGCACAGCAGGUUAAGGCCCUAGCCUUUAGUGCCGGCAUCCUAUAUGGGCGCCAGUUCAAGACCUGGCUGCUCCACUUCUAAUCCAGCUCUCUGCUAUGGCCUGGGGAAAGCAGUUAAAGAUGGCCCAAGUCCUUGGGCCCCUGCACCCAUGUGGGAGACCCAGAAGAAGCUCCUGGCUUCAGAUCGGCACAGUUCCUGCCGUUGGGGCCAUCAGGGGAAUGAACCAGUGGAUGGAAGACCUCUCUCUCUCUGACUCUCCUCUCUCUAUGUAACUCUGACUUUCAAAUAAAUAAAUAAAUCUUUUUAAAAAAAAACUUAGCAAUUUCACUCUUUUUUAAAAAGAUUUAUUUAUUUGAAAGGCAGAGUUACAGGGUGGGAGGAGGGAGAGAGAGACAGAGACAGAGAGACAGAGAUGCAGAGAGACAAAGAGGUAGCUUCCAUCUGCUAAUUCACUCCUCAAAUGGCCGCAAUGCGAGGAGCCAGGAGCUUCUUCUUUGUCACCCACAUGGGUGCAGGGGCCCAAGCACUUGGGCCAUCCUCCACCACUUUCCCAGGUGCAUGAGCAGGGAGCUGGAUCAGAAAUGGAGCAGCCAGACUCAAACCAGUGGCCAUAUUGAGAUGCCAGCAUUGCAGAUGGCGGCUUCAACACACUAUGCCACAGUGCCAGCCCCAGAAGCUGCACUCUUAAAGUGGAUGCAUUUAAUGGCAUCUAAUUUUGUCUAAGAUGAAAGAAAAUGUAAGCAAAUCUUAGCCUUUAAUGGCUUGCACACUGAUGUAUCUCAGAAGAAGGGUACAGACAGUUAAAAUUUAAUUUCCAUUUUAUUAAAUGGAGAACUAAUGGAUGAAUACACAAAUGAAUGGAGAGGUAAAAACGAUGAGACAAGAAUAGUGAAACAUUAAUGUUGGCAUCUUGGUGGUAGGAAUAUGAAUAUUUUUCAAAUUUGCUGUUUAACAAGUUUCCCAAUAGGGGCCGGCGUUGUGGUGCAGUGGGUUACAGGGUGGGAAGCCUCUGCCUGAGACACCAGCAUCCCUUAUUGGAGUGCUAGUUUGAGUCCUGGCUGCUCCCUUUCUGAUCCAGCUUCCUGUUAAUUCACCUGGGAAAGCAGUGUAAGAGGGCCCAGAUGCCACGUCCCUGAGACCUACAUGAGCGACCUGGAUGAAAUUCCAGGCUGCUGGUGUUGGCCUGGCUUAUCCCAGACCAUUGCAGCCAUCUGGGGAGUGAACCUACAGAUGGAAGGUCUUUUUCUCUGCCUCUACCUCUCUCUGUGCCACUCUGCCUUUAAAAUAAGUAAAGUAAAUAUAUUUUAACAAAGCUCCCCAAUGAAAAGUUUGGGAAAAUAAAUCUUUUACCAAGUUCUGUCUUCUGAUUGUGUUUGGGCUCUAACAGGUGCUUCUGAUUGUGUUUAUCUUCUUGGCCUCUGUGGAUUCUGUGUCCUUGCUGACAAAACAAUUACAUUUACUUUACAGCUAAGAAAAAGGCACCAAGAACACAUGGAAAAAUCAGUGAAAGAGGGGGAAAAGAGGAUUAAUAGUUAGCAUUCGUGGUGGUUGGAAUUGCUGUUAAUUUUCUU